GGGGGGGGGGGGGGGGGGGGCGGGGGCGUGGGGGGCGGGGGGCGGGGGGGUGGGGGCUGGCUCUGGCGGGGGGGGGGGGGCGGGCGGGUGGGGACGGCAUCGGGAUCGACUUGUGCGGGGGGGGUAAGGGGUGGAACCUUACGCUGGUACGGCAUACGGCCUGCGGGUAGAAGCAGGGGGUCUUCGGACCUUGCGCGAGUGCAGUGGCCGAUGUCGGAGUAGCUCGUUGGCGGGGUAAAGGCCCACUAAGGCGACGAGGCGUAGCUGGUCUGAGAGGAUGAUCAGCCACACUGGAACUGAGACACGGUCCAGACUCCUACGGGAGGCAGCAGUGGGGAAUAUUGGACAAUGGGCGCAAGCCUGAUCCAGCCAUACCGCGUGGGUGAAGAAGGCCUUCGGGUUGUAAAGCCCUUUUGUUGGGAAAGAAAAGCAGCAGGUUAAUACCCCGCUGUUCUGACGGUACCCAAAGAAUAAGCACCGGCUAACUUCGUG
rnacentral:rRNA from 1 species